UCAAAAUAACUACUCUCUCGAGUCAUUCAAAGGAAUUACUCCCCAGUGCUUCCUGGGGUUCUAAGCCUUGGUAGUGAGUCCACAUUAAGGCAGCCUGCCUCAGACUAAUUUCUAGGCUUCCCUGUAGCGUGGACACACUAUUUUGAAAUAGUUAUUUUGGGAGUUAUUUGGAAAUAACUUCUUUUGAAAUAACCUGAUAUAGUGUAGACAUAGCCUGUGUGUGAUAUAUACACCCACACACAUGCACUUUGUUGUGAAGUGGAAAUGCACACUUUCACCACUAGAUGCCGCAAUGCACUUUUAUAAACCAUGCCUUUCAGUCUACAGGGCAGAGAGGUGGUGGUGGUGGGGUGUCGUCUCUCCUCAUGGAAGGAUCGAUCUAGCUGGUGAAUGAGCUACAGGUGCAGCUCCAUUAUAGGGAUGCGCUUUAGCCCAGCAAACUUCGUACCACCUGGUAGGAAUGCAGUGGCCCUACUGCUCGGGCAGGAGGCGGAGAUAGAAUUGGAACCCAGUACCUCACAAAGCCAAAGAGAGGCUUCACUCAGGGCAGGGACAUCCAAGGGCUCACCUAAUGGGCAUGGGGUCUGUGGGCUAUGUGGUUCCCAGGCCAAGCUCAGAACACAUGCUGCUCUGGGUGGGAGAGAAAAGAGGAGUUGCUCUUUUUGUGGGGAGAACUGAAGGGGUGAUAACAGCUACAUGCCUCUUCCCCACUCUCUCGCAGGUAACUAACUAGGUGGAAGAUUCUCCAACUGAGGCCACAGACGAGGGGCAAGGGCUAGGGUUACAACCAAGCUGGGUCUCCAGCACAAGACUAAAGGAAGCUGAGGAGCAGUGGCCCCUGAACUCACAGCCAGAAAAUGAAAGAGAAAGGCCAAUCCCCUGGGUGGAGAUUAGGGCAUCAGGGAAAACGGCUGUGUAUUGCCCCCAAGUGCUCUGAUGAGAGGUAGCUGAAUGAUGGGAAGCUCUGGGGUAGGGAGAGAAAACAGAAAUGGGCCACAACUUGAGACCCCCUUAGCCCAGCUGUGCUGGGGCUCAGAUAACGUGAGGCCCCAGGACAAAUCCUCCCUGGGUUGAGGGGGCUGGAAAAUAGGUUAUGCCCCAUCUCUGCUCACAUCCAGUGCCCUCUGCUCAAGCAGCAAUGAGCUUGUUCCCAUGAGGAUGGCGAUGGAGGUGACAGCAAUGGCAUGGCACAUGUAUACGUAUACAAUACAGGAAGUUCAGUGGAAAAUAUGCAUCUUGUGAUGAAGGUCUGUCAGCUGUACUGGAGCCUUUUCAAGCACAGCAGCAGCACAAUGUAAAGGCCAGAACACUGCCUAAAGGUGCUGCUUGUUGUGAGGCCGGAUGCUUCUCGGAGACACAGCCAGUGCAUCCAAAGAGCUCCCAAUCCCUCUCCAGUUACACACCGGAUCCAACCAAUGGGCCAGCCGGUCUCUUGUCCCACCUCCAGCACUGGCUAUCGCUGAUGCUUCAGAGAAAGGGUCAUUACUCCAUGCAGUGCUGUGAUUCCUUCGCACUCUAGUGUGGGUGACUUGAGUUUUGAGUUCCUUUUGUUACCACAGCACUGACUUAAAAUGUCAGUGCUGAUGCCAAAACAAGCCAUUGUUUUUAUCCAGCAAUUAACUCUCUGGC